AGCUUAACCAAAGCAAAGCACUGAAAAUGCUUCGAUGGAUCAUAAUGGGUCCCAGAAACA
rnacentral:tRNA from 1 species